rnacentral:rRNA from 1 species
UUAAGCGACUAAGCGUACACGGUGGAUGCCCUGGCAGUCAGAGGCGAUGAAGGACGUGCUAAUCUGCGAUAAGCGUCGGUGAGGUGAUAUGAACCGUUAUAACCGGCGAUUUCCGAAUGGGGAAACCCAGUGUGUUUCGACACACUAUCAUUAACUGAAUCCAUAGGUUAAUGAGGCGAACCGGGGGAACUGAAACAUCUAAGUACCCCGAGGAAAAGAAAUCAACCGAGAUUCCCCCAGUAGCGGCGAGCGAACGGGGAGGAGCCCAGAGCCUGAAUCAGUGUGUGUGUUAGUGGAAGCGUCUGGAAAGGCGCGCGAUACAGGGUGACAGCCCCGUACACAAAAAUGCACAUACUGUGAGCUCGAUGAGUAGGGCGGGACACGUGGUAUCCUGUCUGAAUAUGGGGGGACCAUCCUCCAAGGCUAAAUACUCCUGACUGACCGAUAGUGAACCAGUACCGUGAGGGAAAGGCGAAAAGAACCCCGGCGAGGGGAGUGAAAAAGAACCUGAAACCGUGUACGUACAAGCAGUGGGAGCCUCUUAAUGGGGUGACUGCGUACCUUUUGUAUAAUGGGUCAGCGACUUAUAUUCUGUAGCAAGGUUAACCGAAUAGGGGAGCCGAAGGGAAACCGAGUCUUAACUGGGCGUUAAGUUGCAGGGUAUAGACCCGAAACCCGGUGAUCUAGCCAUGGGCAGGUUGAAGGUUGGGUAACACUAACUGGAGGACCGAACCGACUAAUGUUGAAAAAUUAGCGGAUGACUUGUGGCUGGGGGUGAAAGGCCAAUCAAACCGGGAGAUAGCUGGUUCUCCCCGAAAGCUAUUUAGGUAGCGCCUCGUGAAUUCAUCUCCGGGGGUAGAGCACUGUUUCGGCAAGGGGGUCAUCCCGACUUACCAACCCGAUGCAAACUGCGAAUACCGGAGAAUGUUAUCACGGGAGACACACGGCGGGUGCUAACGUCCGUCGUGAAGAGGGAAACAACCCAGACCGCCAGCUAAGGUCCCAAAGUCAUGGUUAAGUGGGAAACGAUGUGGGAAGGCCCAGACAGCCAGGAUGUUGGCUUAGAAGCAGCCAUCAUUUAAAGAAAGCGUAAUAGCUCACUGGUCGAGUCGGCCUGCGCGGAAGAUGUAACGGGGCUAAACCAUGCACCGAAGCUGCGGCAGCGACACUAUGUGUUGUUGGGUAGGGGAGCGUUCUGUAAGCCUGUGAAGGUGGCCUGUGAGGGUUGCUGGAGGUAUCAGAAGUGCGAAUGCUGACAUAAGUAACGAUAAAGCGGGUGAAAAGCCCGCUCGCCGGAAGACCAAGGGUUCCUGUCCAACGUUAAUCGGGGCAGGGUGAGUCGACCCCUAAGGCGAGGCCGAAAGGCGUAGUCGAUGGGAAACAGGUUAAUAUUCCUGUACUUGGUGUUACUGCGAAGGGGGGACGGAGAAGGCUAUGUUGGCCGGGCGACGGUUGUCCCGGUUUAAGCGUGUAGGCUGGUUUUCCAGGCAAAUCCGGAAAACCAAGGCUGAGGCGUGAUGACGAAGCACUACGGUGCUGAAGCGACAAAUGCCCUGCUUCCAGGAAAAGCCUCUAAGCAUCAGGUAACAUCAAAUCGUACCCCAAACCGACACAGGUGGUCAGGUAGAGAAUACCAAGGCGCUUGAGAGAACUCGGGUGAAGGAACUAGGCAAAAUGGUGCCGUAACUUCGGGAGAAGGCACGCUGAUAUGUAGGUGAAGCGACUUGCUCGUGGAGCUGAAAUCAGUCGAAGAUACCAGCUGGCUGCAACUGUUUAUUAAAAACACAGCACUGUGCAAACACGAAAGUGGACGUAUACGGUGUGACGCCUGCCCGGUGCCGGAAGGUUAAUUGAUGGGGUUAGCGGUAACGCGAAGCUCUUGAUCGAAGCCCCGGUAAACGGCGGCCGUAACUAUAACGGUCCUAAGGUAGCGAAAUUCCUUGUCGGGUAAGUUCCGACCUGCACGAAUGGCGUAAUGAUGGCCAGGCUGUCUCCACCCGAGACUCAGUGAAAUUGAACUCGCUGUGAAGAUGCAGUGUACCCGCGGCAAGACGGAAAGACCCCGUGAACCUUUACUAUAGCUUGACACUGAACAUUGAGCCUUGAUGUGUAGGAUAGGUGGGAGGCUUUGAAGUGUGGACGCCAGUCUGCAUGGAGCCGACCUUGAAAUACCACCCUUUAAUGUUUGAUGUUCUAACGUUGGCCCGUAAUCCGGGUUGCGGACAGUGUCUGGUGGGUAGUUUGACUGGGGCGGUCUCCUCCUAAAGAGUAACGGAGGAGCACGAAGGUUGGCUAAUCCUGGUCGGACAUCAGGAGGUUAGUGCAAUGGCAUAAGCCAGCUUGACUGCGAGCGUGACGGCGCGAGCAGGUGCGAAAGCAGGUCAUAGUGAUCCGGUGGUUCUGAAUGGAAGGGCCAUCGCUCAACGGAUAAAAGGUACUCCGGGGAUAACAGGCUGAUACCGCCCAAGAGUUCAUAUCGACGGCGGUGUUUGGCACCUCGAUGUCGGCUCAUCACAUCCUGGGGCUGAAGUAGGUCCCAAGGGUAUGGCUGUUCGCCAUUUAAAGUGGUACGCGAGCUGGGUUUAGAACGUCGUGAGACAGUUCGGUCCCUAUCUGCCGUGGGCGCUGGAGAACUGAGGGGGGCUGCUCCUAGUACGAGAGGACCGGAGUGGACGCAUCACUGGUGUUCGGGUUGUCAUGCCAAUGGCACUGCCCGGUAGCUAAAUGCGGAAGAGAUAAGUGCUGAAAGCAUCUAAGCACGAAACUUGCCCCGAGAUGAGUUCUCCCUGAGACUUAGAGUCUCCUGAAGGAACGUUGAAGACGACGACGUUGAUAGGCCGGGUGUGUAAGCGCAGCGAUGCGUUGAGCUAACCGGUACUAAUGAACCGUGAGGCUUAACCUU